rnacentral:lncRNA from 1 species
AUUUGUUUAUGGCCAACGGAUCCAUCGAUUCGACACAAAUCCUGAGAUUCUCGUGCAGCAAUCGGAUGCUAAAUGCUAAAAGCCCAUAAAUAAAACGCUUUUAAGUGGCGAACUAAACCCAAAACAAAGAAAAACAUUUCUACACACCAAACACAGAAAUGAUUCCCCUUCAGAACUGUGUGGAGAUAUCGUCGGAGAGUGGCUGGGGAGCACUUCAUAAUUUGGAAUCAGCAGCAGAAUCGAAAC